rnacentral:sRNA from 1 species
GCCGGGCGUGGUGGCGCACACCUGUCAUCCCAGCCACUUGGGAGGCUGAGGCAGAGGAUGGCAAGUUUGAGGCCAGCCUCAG